rnacentral:rRNA from 1 species
GACGAACGCUGGCGGCGCGCUUAACACAUGCAAGUCGAGCGAGAACCAGACCUUCGGGUCUGGGGACAGCGGCGAACGGGUGAGUAACACGUGGGUAGUCAACCCUCGGUACUGGGAUAGCCCGGGGAAACCCGGAUUAAUACCGGAUGGCCCUUCGGAUCUUCGGUUCUGAAGGAAAAGGUAGCUUCGGCCUCCGACCGAGGACGAGCCCGCGGCGGAUUAGCUUGUUGGUGGGGUAACGGCCUACCAAGGCGGCGAUCCGUAGCUGGUCCGAGAGGACGAUCAGCCACACUGGGACUGAGACACGGCCCAGACUUCUACGGAAGGCAGCAGUGGGGAAUCUUGCGCUAAUGCGGGAAACCGUGACGCAGCGACGCCGCGUGAGGGAAGAAGGCCUUCGGGUUGUAAACCUCUUUCAGGAGGGACGAAGCUACUCGGGUUAAUAGCCCAGAGGGUGACGGUACCUUCAGAAGAAGCCCCGGCUAACUACGUGCCAGCCGCCGCCGUAA